UUUGUAUUUUUCUCGCUGAUUUAUCCAGUACAUUGGAAUACAUAAGUUAAAUUAUAAAUCUUGAACCAGCAGCAUAUGUAUAAUAUACAAGUAUAAAAUUAUGAGUUCAUAAGACGUUUUGGCAAUAUUAUUUUUGAAAGAAGGCCUAUUGAAAUUCCGUGAUAAUAGUUACUGGUGACCGAUGCAGUUACAAUGCUACAUGUUAUCUCUAUUUAACGAUAAAAAAUUAAAGAAUUUCCC
rnacentral:lncRNA from 1 species